rnacentral:tRNA from 1 species
CUUUCAGCAGGGGAACCAGGGAGAGUCCGUCGACGCUCUGAUUGUGGGCCGCGUUGCCUUUAACGCCGGUGAUGUUCAAAAUCGUCGGAUAAAAGUCCA